rnacentral:rRNA from 1 species
GAUGAACGCUGGCGGCGUGCUUAACACAUGCAAGUCGAACGAUGAAGCCCAGCUUGCUGGGUGGAUUAGUGGCGAACGGGUGAGUAACACGUGAGUAACCUGCCCUUAACUCUGGGAUAAGCCUGGGAAACUGGGUCUAAUACCGGAUAGGAGCGUCCACCGCAUGGUGGGUGUUGGAAAGAUUUAUCGGUUUUGGAUGGACUCGCGGCCUAUCAGCUUGUUGGUGAGGUAAUGGCUCACCAAGGCGACGACGGGUAGCCGGCCUGAGAGGGUGACCGGCCACACUGGGACUGAGACACGGCCCAGAAGCCUACGGGAGGCAGCAGUGGGGAGUAUUGCACAAUGGGCGAAAGCCUGAUGCAGAGACGCCGCGUGAGGGAUGACGGCCUUCGGGUUGUAAACAUCUUUCAGUAGGGAAGAAGCGAAAGUGACGGUACCUGAAGAAGAAGCACCGGCUAACUACGUG